rnacentral:lncRNA from 1 species
UACAAGGAGAACAGAUUCUUAUUGAACUUAUGCAAAUAACUAUAUUGCCAAGAAAUAGCCAUAUUCUUUCACAAAGAGUUUCCAAAUUCUGGAGGGAUCAGGUAGGGAGAAAAAGACAAAUGUUUCAGUUUUGCUCACAAACGUAUAAUUUCACUGAUUGCUAUAAGACGUGGUUAGCAUAAGAGAAAAGAUUUCCUUAAAUCUGAGAAAACAAAACAACACAUCAAAAACAAUAUUUCAAACAAAAGUCGUAAAAAUUAUAAUCAUCCUCAGUUCAUUCAGUCCUGUAUAACUGGUUCUUGAUCUUAAUCUGUUAGCAGUUUUGUUUUUUAACAUUAAAACUCAUUUGCUUAAUUGGAUUUACUUUAAUCUCAGUCUAUGUGACCAGGCAUAAAACUCCUUUCAGAAUUUCUCCUUCACAAAACUUCUACAACUUUCUUUUUGCCUUCAGAAUUUGUCCCAUGCUUUCUUUCUUCCCUUCUAGUACAUUAGGACAAAUUUGUCUUUCUUCACCAACCAAACAAAAAUAUUUCCGUUCUUUAUACCCUUUUUACUGAAAACUUACAUUUUAACUUUUUCCUUGAAUGCAGAGCUGUUUUCCUUAUUAAUUUCCAAUGGCUUUAAUUACAUAUGUUAAUUAGAACUUUUAACCAUUAACAGACAAAAGGUAAGCAAUUAUGAAUUGUAUUUUAUAUCAGCAUUCUAAACACUUCAUAAUUUCUAGGAACACAUCACUUUACAGUAAAAGACCCAUAGACUUUAGCAUCUCUGCAAUAAAAACCAAAAGCAGAUAAACUUAGAUGUUUAGCAACGUUUGUUCUAUCCAAUCCAAAAAUUACCCAGAUACUCAGAUUUUUAUCAUUUAACUUGACUUGGCAAAACCAAAAAGAAUUUCAAAGGUGUGUUUUUUUUUUCCAAGUGUACAGACCAUAAAACAGUUAUUGUACCCACUUUUAUCUAUUUAAACCGUUUGUUUCCAACACUUAUGUUCAGAUUACCUAUGAAAACCUCAUGAGACAUGAGACAAAACUGGUCCUCAUUUAAAGCUAUUAUUUUGCUAACGAAUUUCUAACAGACAACGUGAAUUUAUUUGACUAGUAAACCCAGGCUGCAUGCCUGCAUCGUUAUGCAAAUACCGACAACUCUGACAACAAGACUAUUUUCAAUCAAACCAACAAACUUAAACAAGCUUUCAUUUACCAAAGGUUAAUUCACAAGACGUUAACUUUGAAAG